CCUACGGGGGGCAGCAGUGGGGGAUAUUGCACAAUGGGGGAAACCCUGAUGCAGCGACGCAGCGUGUGGGAAGACGGUCCUCUGGAUUGUAAACCACUGUUCCCAGGGACGAAGAUGACGGUACCUGGGGAGGAAGCUCCGGCUAACUACGUGCCAGCAGCCGCGGUAAUACGUAGGGAGCACGCGUUGUCCGGAAUUACUGGGUGUAAAGGGAGCGUAGGCGGGAUGGCAAGUUGGGUGUUAAAUCUACCGGCUCAACUGGGAGUCGCACUCAAAACUGGUAUGCUUGAGUGCAGUAGAGGCAGGCGGAAUUCGUAGUGUAGCGGUGAAAUGCGUAGAUAUUAGGAGGAACACCGGUGGCGAAGGCAGCCUGCUGGGCUUUUACUGACGCUGAGGCUCGAAAGUGUGGGGAGCGAACAGGAUUAGAUACCCCAGUAGUC
rnacentral:rRNA from 1 species